CUCCAGGGCCGGACCGAGGGACAUUCCAGGCCCGACCAGCAGGAGGCGCGGCCGGGCUCAGCAGGUGAAGUAUGGGAAAGCCUAUGGCCAGAUGUCUACAGCUCCACCAGCACCUCAACAAACUGAAGAAGAUCAUUGGGCACACAGGACUGGUCCCAGGCUGAGCAAGGUAGUCACAAAAAUCCUGAGCAUCUUCUGACUGCCUAAUUAUGGAACAGCACUAGAAGAAUAUCAUCCAUUCUGCUUCCUUCCCUGCUGUUACAGAUCACAUGCUGCCCAGGUAGCUGACUAUAAGAAGCAAACUGGCAGAGGAAAACAAAGUAAAAAUAGAUGGAAGAAAUUCCACUGGUUAAAAAAAAAACAACUCAGUCAAGCAAUGGGUAAAUUAGAAAACAUCAUAUUGCCACUAGCUUGUGCUCCCAUGUAAAUAUAGUUUUCCAAACCACAUGUAGGUGAGCUCUGAGAUAGGGGUCAGGCUCCAGGGAGGUAGCACCAUGGAUUAGUGGUUUGGAAGAGGAACAGGGAGCUGGGGAGAAGCCAGCUGGAUGAAAAGCUCAAGCCCAGGGUGGACACCAGUAAGCUAACGUGUUUGGUUUUGUUUGAGGGUAUUUGAGUUCUGCUGUGUAAACUGGGGAGAAACCUGCUACUCUGAAAGAAGACUAGGAUUCAAGAGGAGCCCAGAAGGGACUGAAGACAUUGUAUG